rnacentral:tRNA from 4 species
GGCGGACGUAGCCAAGCGGAUCAAGGCAGU